UACGUAGGGUGCGAGCGUUGCCCGGAUUUAUUGGGCGUAAAGAGCUCGUAGGCGGUGUGUCGCGUCGGCCGUGAAAACCUGCAGCUUAACUGUGGGCUUGCGGUCGAUACGGGCAUCACUGGAGUUCGGCAGGGGAGACUGGAAUUCCUGGUGUAGCGGUGAAAUGCGCAGAUAUCAGGAGGGAACACCGGUGGCGAAGGCGGGUCUCUGGACAGUUCCUGACAGCUGAGGCACGAAGGCCAGGGGAGCAAACGGG
rnacentral:rRNA from 1 species